GGAGAGAUGGCUCAGUGGUUAAGAGCACUGACUGCUCUACCAGAGGUCCUGAGUUCAAGUCCCAGUAUCCACA
rfam:Mus musculus chromosome 4, GRC primary reference assembly.